CCGCCCGGCCCGGGAGUCGGAGCGCCGCAACGCCUGCCCGAGACUGAGGGACCGGCGGGGCGGCCCAAACACUUUCCGGGCGGGCCCGGCUCCGCCCAGCCAGGUCAGAGUGAUGGUGCAGCCAUAAAGAUGCAGAAUCUUCAACCUAAAAAAAGUGAAGACAAGACCCCCGAUUAUGUGGAGCGGAGACAGUGGAGCCUAGAUUCUAAGUAAGCAUGGUAAAUGAAUUUCGUUAACUUUCCUUGUUAAUAAGGAGGAUAUGGGGUUCAGGAGCUGUUACGUAACUGACUCAAGCUUCAACAUUAAGAGCAUCAGUAAGAGGCUGCAGGGUUGCAGCCUAGAAGACCACCACCCAAGGCCAAGUGAUUGCAGAAAUUGAGCUGCUGGGACCAACAUCAUCUAAGAGAAGUCAUCUGCACAUUGGCCCAUUGCUGACUCACCUCAAAGAGAUUAACUGAAAACCCAUUAUGUAUUUUCACCGGGGAUAACCAAUGUAUGAGUCCCUGGCCAUCCUUUCUCUCUUCUACCCUCAUCCCUCUGUCAUUACUUCUGGGCCCUUGACCCAGACCAUCCCUCUAAACCCUUGCACUCCAUUCUAUGUAAAUACUGCUCUAUACAGUAAAAUCUUCUAUGAAGUUAUCUGUUUCUUUGCUUAAUCCCUCUACCUUGCCUUAAGGGAGAGCCAUCCCCCCUCCAUGCAAUUACUUUCCCACAUCCCUCACAAGUGGAGACUGUUCAUUCUCUCACUGCCAUGGAGCUCAAAAUCUGGAUGGAGACUUUUUAUCAUCUGUGUGUCCCACCAUCCCUUGCCAACAAUGAUCCUCUCUCUCACAUGAUACGUAACAGUCUCUCCAACUUCCUCUUAACUGUCAUUUAUCACCCUUGCAGUCACACAUCAACUUCCCUUAUCCCUCAAUCACGACCAUUUAUGAAAGGGCACAGUCUUCCUCCCCCACCCCCCUACCAAGUCCUGCCAAUAGCCUGGGUGACUUUAGUAGCCACAGGAAUGGCCCAUCUAAUACCUGGACCUUGGGUUCUCAACCCUGAUCUCUUACGAUCUUCUCUGCACCCCCAUCAGCCACCUGUUCCGUUAGUAUGGCCUUGAACUUUGUCAUAUCCUGAAAUUACUAACUAGGGCAUCCCUUAUUUAGAUCUUGACUUCUUUUCCUUCCGGCUUACAACUACUUUUCCAGCUUCUCUUGCCAUGGCCAUUCUUCCAUCUCAUCAGGGUCUCCAGAUAACUGUCUAGAUGCAAGGGAUUUUUCAAAUACACACAAUUUUUUUAAAAGAUAGAAGAAAGAUUUUGUAAUGGAAAUGUUUAUGUAAGCAUCUAAAAACAGAGCUCUGGAAUUAUGGAGAAGGGUAGGAAGGGUGUCACAGGGAAAAGUGCAGUACAACCUGCUAGUACUAAUUUAGGCUGUGCUUAUUAUAAAAUAUGGAAUUAAUAAUCAGAAGCAUUGUGUAAAUGAAGUCCCUAAAUAAAUACCCUGUGUGUUUGGAGGCUCAGUGGAGAGGUAACACACGCAUGAACAUGAGCUGAUGUAAACAAUAGUUCCUGAAGAUGAUUGUGAGGAAGCUGAAGCAAAAGACUAAAAUCAACAAUAUCACAGGUUUUUUAUAAAAAGAUGCGCCUGCUGCAGAAGAGUCUAAAAAUGUGCCUGUAAUAAAGUAAGGCUUACUUAACAAAGACAGCAGUGGAAGAUGUGAUGAACAUGAGUCCAUAUGAAGAUUAUAAGCCCUACAUGUGUUAACAAUCUAAAUGCAUAUGUUACACCAAAAUUUAAUACAUAAAAGCAGAGGUGAUUAGGUAGCAGCAUGAGAACAAAUUAGGUAAAUAUUAUGAUCUGGCGAAUGCAGGACUUCCUUGAGGAAAAAAAUUCACCAUCAAACCAGCAGAGGAAGACAAAGCAUGUUCAGACCUUUGAAGUUUAGACAUAGAAAUAAUGGGAAAUGGAUGUUGCUCCAGUAAGAACCCAAAUUCGUAAGUUCCUGUGGCUGCAAAAGACCCAGGGCCAGAAGCAAUCCAGAGGUGGACAGCGAUCUGGAGAGAUACCCAGAGCUACUGCCAUUUAUCUAAUUUCAUAAAGCAGACCCCUGGGAAUCAUCCUUAGUAUCUUCUGUUCUUCAUGUACUAUUCCAGUUGCUCAGCAACUUCUCUCCAUUUUAACUCAUAAAUAUCCUACUUCUUUCUGAGUUUUCACUGCCACUCCCCUUGGAUAGCAUUGUCUCUGGUCCAAACCACAUCAGUAAUAAUUACUAGAUAAGAGCCCUGUAUUCAAACAUGUUUUCCAUGCCAGCAGCAUCAGCACUAUGUGGGAACUUGCCAGACAUGAAGAUUCUCAGGCCACAACCCAGACCCCCUGAAUUAUAAUCUGCAUUUUAAUAAGACUUCCAGGUGAUUCAUAUGCACAUACAAGUCUGAGAAGCACUGGACCAAAGGACAUUAAAAACUUCUUCACAGUUUUAUGGGCCAAUGGUAGUGUAAACCCAAAUUGGCUUCUACUGAUCUAAAGGUAAAGAGAAAUAAGAGCCCUCACUUGUUAAGAAUACAUUUAAACCGGGGCACCUGGGUGGCUCAGUUGGUUAGGCGUCUGCCUUCAGCUGAGGUCAUGGUCCCAGGGUCCUGGGAUCGAGCCCCACAUCGGGCUCCCUGAUCCGCGGGAAGCCUGCUUCUC